rnacentral:rRNA from 1 species
GACGAACCGUGCGAACGUUGUUCGGAAUCACUGGGCUUAAAGGGCGCGUAGGCGGGCCAUCAAGUCAGGGGUGAAAUACCUCAGCUUAACUGAGGAACAGCUUUUGAUACUGGUGGCCUCGAGGGGGGUAGGGGCAUGCGGAACUUCCGGUGGAGCGGUGAAAUGCGUAGAUAUCGGAAAGAACACCAACGGCGAAAGCACUCUGCUGGGCCGACACUGACACUGAGAGACGAAAGCUAGGGGAGCGAAUGGG